ACUAGAACAAGAAAGUCUUACACUAAUCUUUUCUAUUACAAGAAUCCUUUAGGAUUACCCCAAUUCUAAGUUAAAACUCACCCUAGAACCUAGACUUUUGUUUAUCAGGAUCCUCCAAACCCCGAGCUAAACUCUCCCUGAAUCUAGACUUCAAUCUUCCAACUCCUCGGAAGUACUUCACCAACUACGUCAGCACCUAACGCAGAGCAGUGACACCAAAGGCUUGAU
rnacentral:lncRNA from 1 species